rnacentral:rRNA from 1 species
AACGUAGGAGACAAACGUUAUCCGGAGUUACUGGGCGUAAAGGGCGUGCAGGUGGUCUGUUAAGUCUGGCGUGAAAGCUCUCGGCUAAACCGGGAGAGGUCGUUGGAUACUGACGGACUAGAGGACGGUAGAGGCGUGUGGAAUUCCGGGUGUAGUGGUGAAAUGCGUAGAUAUCUGGAGGAAUACCGGUGGCGAAGGCGGCAUCCUGGACCGGCAUUGGACGC